AUAUUGGUCAAUGGACGGAAGUCUGAACCAGCCAUGCCGCGUGCAGGAUGACUGCNCUNNGGGUUNUNAAUUGCUUUUAUACGNNNNNAAACCCCUAUAAGUGUAUAGGGCUGAGUGUACUGUAGGAAUAAGGAUCGGCUAACUCCGUGCCAGCAGCCGCGGUAAUACGGAGGAUCCAAGCGUUAUCCGGAAUCAUUGGGUUUAAAGGGUCCGUAGGCGGCCUUAUAAGUCAGCGGUGAAAGUUUUUGGCUUAACCAAAAAAUUGCCGUUGAUACUGUAGGGCUUGAAUUUUUGUGAAGUAACUAGAAUAUGUAGUGUAGCGGUGAAAUGCUUAGAUAUUACAUGGAAUACCAAUUGCGAAGGCAGGUUACUAACAAACGAUUGACGCUGAUGGACGAAAGCGUGGGUAGCGAACA
rnacentral:rRNA from 1 species